AUACGUAGGGUGCAAGCGUUAAUCGGAAUUACUGGGCGUAAAGCGUGCGCAGGCGGUUUUGGAAGACAUAGGUGAAAUCCCCGGGAUCGAACGGGGAACUGCCUUUGUGGCUGCAAGGCCAGAGUACGGCAGAGGGGGAUGGAAUUCCGCGAUGCGCAGGGAAAUGCGUAGAUAUGCGGAGGAACACCGUUGGCGAAGGCAAUCCCCUGGGCCUGUACUGACGCUCAUGCACGAAAGCGUGGUGAGCAAACAGGAUUAGAUACCCUGGUAGUCCACGCCCUAAACGAUGUCAACUGGUUGUUGGGGAUUUAUUUUCUCAGUAACGAAGCUAACGCGUGAAGUUGACCGCCUGGGGAGUACGGCCGCAAGGUUAAAACUCAAAUGAAUUGACGGGG
rnacentral:rRNA from 1 species